rnacentral:rRNA from 1 species
GACAGAGGGUGCAAACGUUGUUCGGAAUUACUGGGCAUAAAGGGCACGUAGGUGGUUCGCUAAGUUACGUGUGAAAUCCCCCGGCUCAACCGGGGAAUUGCGCGUGAUACUGGCGGACUCGAGGCGGGUAGGGGUGAGCGGAACUCCAGGUGGAGCGGUGAAAUGCGUAGAUAUCGUUUGGAACGCCAACGGUGAAAACAGACAGCUGGGAGUGUGCUGACGCUGAGACACGAAAGCCAGGGGAGCGAACGGG